rnacentral:lncRNA from 1 species
GGAGAGGGGAGGCGUCAGCAGGGGAGGGCUCUAAUCACUCUCUCCUUUAAAGGGGAAUCGCUGACUUUGGGUUGAGCCUCUUUACUGGAUUCAAGUUUGCUAGCUCUAAUGCUAACUGCUAACAUACAGGUUACAUUUCCUACAGUUCUUUGGCACAACAUGCCUGCUGUCGAGCACAGUGAUUAGGCUGGUGAGCAAUAUUAGGAGCUGUUUUGGACUGUGAAGCAGUAUUUGAAAUACAGGCACGGUUUCCCUGCACUCAAAAAAGCCUUGAAUCAAUAGAGGACCCAGAUUACUGAUAGACUGGAGUAUUCCCCUUUAAAGUUUUGUUCCAUGUGCAAAAUGCCAUGCAUGCCUUCUCUAAAUAUCUCUCUUUUGACUCAAACGUAUAACAAUAAUUCUCAAGACUAAAUUCUUCGUCACAUUCGUUGUCUUAAGUGCUUUCGUUUCUGUCAUGUGACUGUUUUUAAUGGCCAUUUCCUCUUCCUGUCAUGUGACUGUUCUUUAACGGCCAUUUCCUCUUCCUGCCAUCUCCUCCCGUCAGCAUGGUGAAGCCUCUGUACACAGUGUUCAUGUUGAUGAAAGUGUGCUGUACAGUGUUCAUGUUUUAUGGAGAUGUACUGUAGCUAACUCACUGUGGCCCCUGCACACAGUAUUUGUGAUUAUGAAUAUCUACUAUUUAUCUAACGAGGAAUGCUUUAAUUAUCAUAUUUGUCUCCCCUCUCUGCUAAUGGCUCUCAAUCUCUCUCUCUCUCUACAGUGAUGAUGGACAACACCUCUAAACCUUUGUGUUCCUACAGUAUGCCUUUUGAAACAAUAUGUUUUGGCAGAAUCACUUGACUUUAGAUAUCGUCAAGUUAGGUUUUGAAGCAGGUGUAUUCAAUCCAUUAAAUGGCAACAAACAUUUAAUCUCAUGAACCUGAACGUAAAUGUUUGGUGUUGAUGAGGUUAUUUUGGGUCUUAGUAUCAUUACUUGCAUCUUUCUAUGAUGGACUGCAAAACAAGAGUAUUCAUUAUGAGGGAACCUCUAGGUGCGUCUUGUGAUCCUGCCGGGUCUGAGAGCUUACAAACACUGCUACACCACUGUAUUACUAAAGCCAAGAGAGUGGCUGCCAACACCAAUAACAACUCCACUUCCAGGAGAAGAACAGGUGUGUCUCCCUCUCAGACCCAGCAGCAAUCCCAGACUACCCCGGCUCACAGAGAAGAUCUCUACCUGCACAGGAAGAGGAAAAGGCAGAACAGGAAGAGCCCGAAUCUCUUUUUGUCCUCCCUCCUGCGCCGCAGCAGACGCUCUGAGGAGGACCAGGCGGCCAUCCUGACCAGUACAGACUCAGACGGGCCCAACUACGGGACCCUACACUGA